CAGAUCAUUGUUCUUGCCUCGUUCGAGAGGCCUUGCAAGUGAGAACAUAUACCUAGAAUACAUCAGAGCCAUCAUAGUAAGUUCGAGCAACUGCAUCCCAAACCUCUUUCGAGCUCAAUAAUCAAAUGAAAUACCCAAUUAGAUUGGGUUCCAUAGAAAUGAUCAGUCAUCCUUUGGCAAUGGUGUUCUCCGUUCGCCAUUUACUAAAACUUGGGUUACUAUUCCCAAACAAAUAUCUCAACUUGUCUUUCCCAACAACAAACAUAUAAAACUUUGGAACCAAACUCCGUAAUUGGCACCGUGAUUUUGAUGCAAAUUUGCGCAACGGAUGUAUCAUGGUCAAGGUAUUAAAUAUCGAUAAUAUUGGAAAUAUUGGUAGUCCGAAAACACGGAAAUAUCGAUGGAAAUAUCGGGAUAAUAUCGAUAUCGAUAAAAAUUACAUG
rnacentral:lncRNA from 1 species